GAUGAACGCUGGCGGCGUGCUUAAUACAUGCAAGUCGAACGAAGAGUCUUUGUAGCAAUACGAGGACUUCUUAGUGGCGAACGGGUGCGUAACGCGUUGGUGACCUGCCCCGAAGUGUGGGAUAACAGUUCGAAAGGAUUGCUAAUACCGCAUGAGAUCCACCUAGUCAGAGAGGGUGGAUGAAAGGAGAAAUCCGCUUUGGGAGGGGCCUGCGUCCCAUCAGCUAGUUGGUGAGGUAAAAGCUCACCAAGGCGACGACGGGUAGGGGGCCUGAGAGGGUGACCCCCACACUGGCACUGAAACACGGGCCAGACACCUACGGGUGGCUG
rnacentral:rRNA from 1 species